CCGAGGCUUGGAUGGCGGCCGCGGCGCCGCUCGCUCUGCUGGGUUGCGCGGCUGCAGCGAGCCGUCGGCCAUGGCUCGGGGCCUUGGUCUUGGG
rnacentral:tRNA from 1 species